CCUACGGGAGGCAGCAGUAGGGAAUAUUGCUCAAUGGGGGAAACCCUGAAGCAGCAACGCCGCGUGGAGGAUGAAGGUUUUCGGAUUGUAAACUCCUUUUGUUAGAGAAGAUAAUGACGGUAUCUAACGAAUAAGCACCGGCUAACUCCGUGCCAGCAGCCGCGGGAAUACGGAGGGUGCCAGCGUUACUCGGAAUCACUGGGCGUAAAGAGCGCGUAGGCGGGAUAGCAAGUCAGAUGUGAAAUCCUAUGGCUAAACCAUAGCACUGCAUUUGAAACUGGUAUUCUAGAGUAUGGGAGAGGUAGGUGGAAUGCUUGGUGUAGGGGUAAAAUCCGUAGAGAUCAAGAGGAAUACUCAUUGCGAAGGCGACCUGCUAGAACAUAACUGACGCUGAUGCGCGAAAGCGUGGGGAGCAAACAGGAUUAGAUACCCCUGUAGUC
rnacentral:rRNA from 1 species